GCCACAUCCGUACAAGUGGUGAUGUGUAGAGUUAGAGCCACCAGAAUCGAAGUGGAUGAUGUGUGUGCUGAGGCUCCAAAGUGCACCUCCUUGUCACCCGCGAAACUGUACCACUUGAUGAAGGAAGGAGUCUUGAGCUAUGUCUACGUCUUAAAGUCUUGUGUAGAUGAACGCUUGGAAGCUUUAGACCAGAAAGUGAGCAAUCAAUCUUCACCAAACAGUAGUUUACGUUGUUGGGUUGAAAAAUUCGAGCGAAGUUCAAGAAUAAUCAAUUGUGCUCGAAUGUGUGUGGUCAUCUGUCCAACUGUGUCCGCACCAAGCAACCUAAUCAGCACCCCCCUCAGAAACACCUUCCCCCUCCCCCCUUCAACCCCCUUUAGCAGUCCUCACCCGAGUAGACGAAUACCAUCACAAUCCAAACGGAAUGCCAGCACCA